rnacentral:rRNA from 1 species
AUACGGAGGGAGCAAGCGUUAUUCGGAAUCACUGGGCGUAAAGGACGCGUAGGCGGGUUUGUAAGUCAGGUGUGAAAUCCUACAGCUCAACUGUAGAACUGCACUUGAGACUACAGACCUAGAGUAUGGAAGGGGCAGAUGGAAUUAGUGGUGUAGGGGUAAAAUCCGUAGAUAUCACUAGGAAUACCGAAAGCGAAGGCGAUCUGCUGGGACAUUACUGACGCUGAGGCGUGAAAGCGUGGGGAGCAAACAGGAUUAGAAACCCUAGUAGUCC